UACGUAGGCAGCAAGCGUUGUUCGGAGUUACUGGGCGUAAAGGGUGCGUAGGCGGGUCUUUAAGUCAGGGGUGAAAUCCUGGAGCUCAACUCCAGAACUGCCUUUGAUACUGGAGACCUUGAGUCCGGGAGAGGUGAGUGGAAUUGCGAGUGUAGAGGUGAAAUUCGUAGAUAUUCGCAAGAACACCAGUGGCGAAGGCGGCUCACUGGCCCGGAACUGACGCUGAGACGCGAAAGCGUGGGGAGCAAACAGG
rnacentral:rRNA from 1 species